UACAGAGGUCUCAAGCGUUUGUUCGGAUUCAUUGGGCGUAAAGGGUGUGUAGGUGGCGCCGUAAGUCGGGUGUGAAAUCUCGGGGCUUAACUCCGAAACUGCAUUCGAUACUGCGGUGCUUGAGGACUGGAGAGGAGACUGGAAUUCAUGGUGUAGCAGUGAAAUGCGUAGAGAUCAUGAGGAAGACCAGUGGCGAAAGGCGGGGUCUCUGGGGCAUUACCCUGACGUGAGGAGCGAAAAGUGUGGGGGAGCGAACAGGG
rnacentral:rRNA from 1 species